rnacentral:rRNA from 1 species
UACGUAGGGUGCGAGCGUUAAUCGGAAUUACUGGGCGUAAAGGGCGCGUAGGCGGCCUUCUAAGUCGAACGUGAAAUCCCUGGGCUCAACCCAGGAACUGCGUCCGAUACUGGAAGGCUUGAAUCCGGGAGAGGGAUGCGGAAUUCCAGGUGUAGCGGUGAAAUGCGUAGAUAUCUGGAGGAACACCGGUGGCGAAGGCGGCAUCCUGGACCGGCAUUGACGCUGAGGCGCGAAAGCCAGGGGAGCAAACGGG